rnacentral:sRNA from 1 species
AAUAAAAUUUACAAGUUUUAAUAUAUAUUACUUUUAAAAAUAAAUCGUCCCGCGGUAUACCACAAGUUAAAAUCUAGUACAUAUGUAUAAUAUAACACACAAAAAAAUGCUUUGAAAAACAAGUUAUAAGGUUAAGAAGGUGGCUUAUAAUAAGCGUAAACAGCGUAAAAACUUUGAGAGAAAGUGAGGACUAGUAGAAUAACCGCAGCACAGAAAGAAACAAUUGCCCAUGGAUUAUUGAAGUACUUAUGUUUCAACGUAGCCCUCCAAGCAUUCCACUUAUGAUCGUAGU